AGACCAGUGACGCAGCGGUUAGCGUACCGAUCUUAUAUGGAAACCGCUUCCUUAACCAAUAGGAGUGAUUCUGUAUGAUCCAUCGUUCUCGAAUGUCGGGAGUCGUGGGUUCGAAUCCCACCUGGUCUA